rnacentral:lncRNA from 1 species
AGUAUUUAUGGCAGUUGCUUGUUGAUGUUUUUGGAACCUUGAGUCAACCUUGUGAGAUGUUGUGCCUUAUAUUUUUCUUGUGAAUACUAUCAUCUUAUAUCACAACUGCCUUUGCCUGAGUUUCUCUUGUUUGAAUCAUUUGCUUGCUUGUCACACAUGAUCAAGGCCAUGUUUUUCUUCUACCUCAAAUAAGCCAAUACAAACCUGUUGGACCUUAAUGAAAUAUGUUUUCCCUCUUUGAACCUUAAACCUAAUGAAAAAUCCCUGAUUUCCCUACCUUGAGCUGAGUAGAUUAUUCAUGUUUUCUGCAGGAGAAUUGUUUAAAGUUGGGGGAGUUUGUUUUGUAAGGGUGUAUUGAGAAAAAUACAAAAAUAGAAAAAAUGAGGAAAAAGAAGAAAGAAAAAGAUAAAAGAAAAAGAAUUGAAUGAAAGAAAGUUGGGAUAUAAGUCAGAAAGUGGUUGUAAUUGAAGUGAAGCAAAAGAGAAACUGAUGUGCAUGAUUUGAACUGUUUGAUCUCUUAGCUCAAGGUACUUUGUUGUCCUGAAAAACCAUGUUUUUUUCU